rnacentral:rRNA from 1 species
GAUGAACGCUGGCGGCGUGCCUAAUACAUGCAAGUCGAGCGAACAGACGAGGAGCUUGCUCCUCUGACGUUAGCGGCGGACGGGUGAGUAACACGUGGAUAACCUACCUAUAAGACUGGGAUAACUUCGGGAAACCGGAGCUAAUACCGGAUAAUAUAUUGAACCGCAUGGUUCAAUAGUGAAAGACGGUUUUGCUGUCACUUAUAGAUGGAUCCGCGCCGCAUUAGCUAGUUGGUAAGGUAACGGCUUACCAAGGCAACGAUGCGUAUCCGACCUGAUAGGGGGAUCGGCCACACUGGAACUGGGACACGGUCCAGACUCCUACGGGAGGCAGCAGUAGGGAAUCUUCCGCAAUGGGCGAAAGCCUGACGGAGCAACGCCGCGUGAGUGAUGAAGGUCUUCGGAUCGUAAAACUCUGUUAUUAGUGAAGAACAAAUGUGUAAGUAACUAUGCACGUCUUGACGGUACCUAAUCAGAAAGCCACGGCUAACUACGUG